AAGUACUAAUGCUGUAUUUUAACUUAUAAGUACUAAUGCUAUAUUUACAAGUUUAAUUUCUUAAUUAAUUAAUUUUUUUUCGGAUUCGCGGAUUUUUGAGGAUUUACUCAUAUCCAAUCCAUCGACUAGCAAUUUUCAAGUUUUCAAUCUAAUCCAACCCACCAAUCCAUAGAUCGGAUUUUUAUGGAUUGAAUUUCUGCGGAUUAGACAGAUUGAGUGGAUUGCAUUAGAUUUUGGAGUCUGGACACCACUACCCAUUAACAAACCUAAACAAGAAUCUUCUAGAAGAUCCCUUCUUUUGAAUUUUAAUUUACCCUAUUUAAAAAUCCAAUCAAGCUAUGACAUGAAUAUUAAAUUUUCUUCAAUUGUUAUAGAAUAAAUUAAUAGAUAGAACAAUUCAAUAAAAAUGCAAUAAAGCUAUGACAUGAGUUUCAAAUUUUCUUCUUAUUUUACUGUCGUGUAAUAAAAUAGAUAAUUAAUUAUGUUAAAAUUAAUCUAGGUUGAGCACAAAAUGAGUGUUAAAUUUUCAUUUUCAUAAAAUAACUAAAAUCCAAUAAAUAAUAAAUUAGUAUUAAAAUAAUCAAAGAUGAAAAAAAAAGUAAUAAUUCCCUUAAUAAUAGUUAUUUUACAAAUAAUUGAGGGAUAUUUUAGUAAUUCUAGUAAAUAAUAAUAUUUAAAACAUUAGAUCAAACGAAGGGCCAAUACCAAAACUGGAAAACACGAGACAAAUAGUAAUAACUGGCAUUAGGCUAUGCAUAUCUUUGUUAUUCUCAACUAUUUUUAUAAUUAUUUUUUUCUUUUUGAAAAAAGUUUGGGAAAUGGGACAGAACUUUGAAAUUCUUAGAUAAAGAGUAAUAUAUAUCAAUUGUCUUUAAUUAAAAAAACUUUGGUUUCUUAAAGUUUAAUGCUCAAGUGUGUAAAAUAUACAGCUAUUCUUUAAUUAAGCAUGGUCCUUUCCAUUUUUUUCAGAUAAUUUUAAUUUAGUCGUAUGGAUUCAUAUGGAGACUCACAUACCACUAGAAUAUGUGGCUUACAUAUAUGCUACAUGCAUCUCCCUUGUUUAUGAGUUCUGCAUUCGCCAAGGAGAAUUAGUGGUUAGAACAAAACAUGAUCCUAUCAUCGGGAAGUCUCCAAGUUUGAAGCCCUCUCUUCUUAAACUAAUGGUGUUAUCGAAGUGGCUAAUGCAAUGUCCUUAAAAGCUCUGUAUGUAAGUAGUUUUUCUGCAUAUUUGUGAUACAUAAAUUCUGUUGUUUGUGUGAUCUUCUGUUCGUGAUGUAAAAAUUUCGGUUUCUUUUUCUCUUCUGUACCCUAUUCUUCGGUUCUACAUAUUGUUUGUGCAUUGGUUUGGAUGUCAGUGUGAUCAAGAGACAAGAACUUUCAUUUUUGAAGAUGAAUAACAGAUAUUUGUCACAGUAAUGUGAUUACUGCAGUGAUUCAACACAUUACUGUUGCUAUUGAAGUUCAUUUUAAUGUCCAACAAAUCAAAUGGAAGCAUGGUUUGUCUCUCAAAUCAUGUCGAACAUGAAAAUUACAUGAUGGAACUUAAUGGAAAUGAAGCAUGUUGUAACACCCGUUCCUUGUUUGUUUGAAUUUAUUUAUGUUUAUCUAUUUAAUUGUUUAUGUGUGAAUUUGUUUUAAUUAGCAUUAUUUGAAAUAAUGUAUAAUUCUAUUUAUUUAAAAAAAAUUAUAAGGGAUUAUCUAUCUUUAUCAUAUUAUAUAUAUUUCUUUUGGGCAAAACUCAGUGAGGACGCUGAUUCUCUAAAGGGGUGUAUGUAACACCCUAGGCAAAUCUCACAUCAACAAAGCACGGGAGAGAUGCUAGGUUUAUAAGGGUAAUCCGCACUUUGAUUGGUAAGACACAUUUUGGAGAGUAUGGAUGCCCUAUAAACAAAACCGUGUGAGUCUUGUUAAGGCCCAAAACGGAAAAUAUAUUGUUAGGUCUUGAUUGAGUCAUGACAUAUGAUAUUAGAGUGGCUCUGCGUGUACUCUUGAACAAUCGUGGGGUAAACCUCAACGUAACCUCAGCAAGGACGCUGAAUCCCUAAGGAGGGGUGUAUGUAACACCCUAGGCAAAUCCUACCCCACAUCGACAAAGCACGAGAGAGAUAUUGAGUUUAUAAAGGGUGAUCAACAUCUUAAUUUGUAAGACGUGUUUAGAGGUGUUUAGGUGCGUUUUGGGGUGUAUUGGCUAGGGGUAGGCAAAAAAACUGUGGUCUUAAAAACACCGAACCGAACCGGCGGUUUUUUCUAAUUUGGAUCGGUUUUUAUUUUUAAAAAAAUCAAAGUAUAUCAUUUGUAAAAAAAACCGAAAUGUCGGUUCGGUAUUCGGUUCAUUCAGCUGAACCAAAAAACCGAACCAAAAAACAUAAUUAAUUUUAGAUUUUAUUCAAAUCGACAUGUGUUGAAUUUUUUUUUAUAGAUCCAAAUAUUGAGUUGGAAAAUGCCUAAAGUUGAUGCUAAUAUUGAUGAAGAUGAGAGAAUGUUGUUGGCGUUUGUUUCUAAAUUUUCUUUUUAUUUUGUGUUGUAAGUUGUAAUUGUUGUUAUUUUUAUUUGUCUUUACAACAUUAUGAUUAUGUUUAUGUAGAUGGAGUAUUGGAGUUUGGUUAUAUAUUUUGAAAUUUUAAUAUUUCAUAUUUUGUGAGUACCUUAUUAGUAGUUAGUAAGAUAUUAGUGAUAAGAUGUGUUUUGAAUACUUUGUAUUUAUUAUUAAUAUUUGUAAUGAAAUUAGGAUAAACUAAUUGUUGAAAAAAAUUAUUACAUUCAUGAAGCCCAAUAGGGUAAAAAUUUGAAAUUUCAAAAAUAGUCCAUAACCGAAAAAAUCGAACCGAACCGAUCCGAAAAAAUCUGUUUGAGUUCGGUUCUUUUUAUAAAAAAACUGAUUUAAAUNNNNNNNNNNNNNNNNNNNNNNNNNNNNNNNNNNNNNNNNNNNNNNNNNNNNNNNNNNNNNNNNNNNNNNNNNNNNNNNNNNNNNNNNNNNNNNNNNNNNAAGCACAAGAGAUAUAUUAGAUUUAUAAAGAGUGACUCACACCUUAAUUGGCAAGACGCGUUUUAGGGUAUAUGGACACCCUAGAAACAAAAUCACGCAGCCAAGUCUAGGUUGGACCAUGACAGAUGAUAUCAAAGUGGCUUUGCGUGUCCAUUUGAAUAAUAGUAGUGGAGCAAACCUCAGCAAGGACGCUGAGUCCCUAAAGGGGGUGUAAGCAAAUCUCAUCCCACAUCGACAAAUCAUCGCAGAGGUGUUGGGUUUAUAAGGGUGAUUUACAUCUUAAUUGACAAAACGCGUUUUAGGGUGUAUGGAUGCAUUUUGGGGUGUAUUGGCAUGAUAAUUUUUUUUUUUUUUGACAAAUCUUAGCGAGGAUGCUAAGUUCCUAAGGAGGUGUAUGCAUUUUGGGGUGUAUUGGCAGGACAAUUUUUUUUUUUUUAACAAACCUUAGCGAGGAUGCUGAGUUCUUAAGGGGUUGUAUGUAACACCCUAGACAAAUGUCACAUUGAUAAAAUAUGGGAGAGAUGUUGGGUUUAUAAGGAGUAAUCCACACUUUAAUUAACAAAAUGUGUCUUGAGGUGUAUAGGUGCUCCAAAAACAAACUCGUGCGGGCCUUGUUAAGGUCCAAAUCAGACAUACCUUACCAAGUUUGGGUUAGGUCAUGACAUAUGGUAUUAGAGCAGCUCCGUGUGUCCUCUUGAACGAUGGUGAGACGACCCUCAAUGAGAACGCUGAGUUUCUAAGGAGAGGGGGUGUAUGUAACACCUUAGACAAAUUCUACAUCAACAAAGCAUGGGAAAUAUGUUGAGUUUGUAAGGGAUGACCCACACCUUAACUGCCAAGACGCGUUUUGAGAUGUAUGGACGCCUCAAAACAAAACUAUAUAGGCCUUGUUAAGGUUCAAAGUGAACCAUAUCUUGUUAGGUCUGAAUUGGACCAAGACACAUGCUAUGCAAUUGAAUAUGUGCGAUCUAUCAUUUCCCUAAUGUCGGAAAAUGAUCAAGAAAUCCAUCAUCAGAUUGACAAAUUAGGACCUAAAGUUAGAACAAAGAAAAAGAGGAGGACAGGGAUAUGAAAGAAGGGAAACUGACAUUUAGCACGAUUAUCAAAAACCACGAAUGGUAUAACAUAGUUAGAAAGCGCUUACACUUACUCGAAAAAGAUUGAAGGAAAGAAAGACUAUAGCUUAUAAAAAUUCCUUGUAUGACGAGCUUCGGCUGGUGGUCAUGCUGGAGCUAUCAGGAACAAGAUAUAUUGUUUUCAACUCUUGUAAACAUGACCAGGCAUGGAACCUUGUUCAUGAUUGGAGACUGCAGAAUCUUUCAAGGACCGUCUUGCUGGAUAUGGAAGUGAAAAUGCAGGCUGUAGAAUGAUUAGCAGUUCCCCAAUGCAAACAUCUGCACAUUAUAAAAUUCAGAUUUGGUGCUAUAACACUUUGGAUUGCUGUAAUUUGACACUAUAUUAUAGUCAUUGUAUACGGCCAACUCUAGAUUUUAUAACAUGCAGACAUCUGUGAUGGAGGACUCGGAGAAUGAUAGUCCAAGAAUUCCCAGCAAAGGUACUCAGGAGUUUCAGGAGUUAAAACUGGUUGUAAGUUCAGUAUUUUCAUGGCUAGAGGCAAAAGGCUUUAAGAUGCAAGUUCACCACUAUUCACAAUCACUGCUAGAAGUAAAUAACUUUAUUCUAAUGACGAUACGGAAAACUAAAAUUCCUAACAAAUUUCCACCCACAUAACCCUGUUGGAAUGAUAAAUAAGUCUGAUAGUUAUUAUGCUGUCAUGAAUGGAAAUGAACACAGGAUUGUUGUAUACUUGUAUAUAGAAACUCGACCUUCCUUGCAUAAUUCUCAAACCACAUUAAGAUCAAAUUAUCAGACAAUUGGAACAGUGGCAGAAGAGAGAUAAGAUAAAGAAAUCUCGGAACAUUAUCAUUUCGUCAGUAAAAAGAAUGAUAUCCAUAUCUACAAUAAACAGUUGACUACAUGCUGCUGGGACAUAUAGCUCUUUAAAAGCCACAUUAUUUCUACGGACCGAGUCAAAUAAAUGUACAAGAACCAGAAAAGACUUCAGUGUCCUAAACAUACCAAAUUCUGUGCAAACUCAUGUCGUUCUGUCCUGUUAUUAGAAUUCAGAUUGCUACUCUAAAUAAAGGAACCAACAUGAAUUUUUCUGCCAUCCAAUUACAAUUAUCAGAACUGCCUGUCACUCGAAAACUGCACAAAUAAGCAAGCAUUUAAUCACUCCUCUUAAAACAACAAUUUCAUAAUGUAGCACUUUAACGUAAAGUAAAUGCAGUCACCAAUGUAUACUCACAGGCUGGAUUACUAGAUUCAUUCUCAUUUUUUCUGGAUGAAUUGUAAGUUACAAGACCAUUAACUUCUGAGGCUUGACAAUUAUCCUGCACCGCAGCUGGCUCUGCAGAACUUUCAUUUGUUGCUUCGCACUGAAAUUGGAAAUAAUGUAAGUUAGAUUAGAUCCAGGAAGACUAAAAGCAGAAGAAAAAAGGAUUCAAAUAUCCAGGUCGUAGGUUUUCCCGAUAUCCAUGUAUUAGUGAUAUCAAGGAGUUAUUGCUUGUGCAAUUGACAUUCCAUCCUAGAAGAGGGUAAUAUCGAGGAAUUAUUGCUUGUGCAAUUGACAUUACAUUACAGAUGAGGGAGACAUUAGUUAGCGAUUCUAUCAGUUUCUCUGACAAAAUGAUUCAUUAUCCUUAUUAUUCUUCUUCCACAAUGAGCAAAAAUUCCUUUCUCACCUUUUUUGCUAGAAAUUUUAUAAAAUCAGACCAGACUCUCUACAAUAUGAGAGUUCAAAUUUUUCCUUAUUUGUUAGACCAAAACAAUUAUGCGAAAGAUAUUUAAGAAUCAAAGUCUAAAACUAAUCACUGUUGCAGAACAAUUUAUGUGUACGAUUGUGACUGCUUUGGUUUAGCAGCUUAAUUUUGAAAGCACAGCAGCUAUAUUGUUUGGUAAACAACCACUUUUCCUUGGCAGCAAUUAUUUACCCACCACUCACCCAUCAACUUAUUUUUGGCUGCUACUGGUUCUAUUCUGCAACAACUGUGAAUUAAAAGCCAAACCACAGCACCUCAACCGCAAACACACUCUAUGUAAAUUCUCCCUCUAAGCAUCUUCUUCAGGUUAAUUACAGGACAACUGGGAACUUAAGGAUAUACGAAAAAAGUAUCAUGCCUAUCAUU
rnacentral:lncRNA from 1 species